UACGUAGGGGGGCUAGCGUUGUCCGGAAUCAUUGGGCGUAAAGCGUGCGCAGGCGGUUUGCUAAGACAGGUGUGAAAUCCCCCGGGCUUAACCUGGGAACUGCGCUUGUAACUGGCAAGCUAGAGUGUGGCAGAGGGGGGGUGGAAUUCCACGUGUAGCAGUGAAAUGCAUAGAGAUGUGGAGGAACACCGAUGGCGAAGGCAGCCCCCCUGGGCUAACACUGACGCUCAUGCACGAAAGCGUGGGGAGCAAACAGG
rnacentral:rRNA from 1 species